AUUGAACGCUGGCGGCAAGCUUAACACAUGCAAGUCGAGCGAGCGGCGGACGGGUGAGUAAUGUCUGGGAAACUGCCUGAUGGAGGGGGAUAACUACUGGAAACGGUAGCUAAUACCGCAUACCAUCAGAUGUGCCCAGAUGGGAUUAGCUAGUAGGUGGGGUAAUGGCUCACCUAGGCGACGAUCCCUAGCUGGUCUGAGAGGAUGACCAGCCACCAUGGAAAUGAGAAACGGUCCAGAAUCCGACGGGAGGCAGCAGUGGGGAAUAGUGCACAAUGGGCGCAAGCCUGAUGCAGCCAUGCCGCGUGUAUGAAGAAGGCCUUCGGGUUGUAAAGUACUUUCAGCGGGGAGGCGUUACCCGCAGAAGAAGCACCGGCUAACUCCGUGCCAGCCGCCGCGGUAAUAC
rnacentral:rRNA from 1 species